rnacentral:rRNA from 1 species
GCCUCUUACGGGACGCAGCAGUGGGGAAUAUUGCACAAUGGGGGAAACCCUGAUGCAGCGACGCCGCGUGAGUGAAGAAGUAUUUCGGUAUGUAAAGCUCUAUCAGCAGGAACGAGACAAGACGGUACCUGACUAAGAAGCCCCGGCUAACUACGUGCCAGCAGCCGCGGUAAUACGUAGGGGGCAAGCGUUAUCCGGAUUUACUGGGUGUAAAGAGGGCGCAGACGGCAAUGCAAGCCAGGAGUGAAAGCCGGGG